rnacentral:rRNA from 1 species
UACGUAGGGGGCAAGCGUUGUCCGGAUUUAUUGGGCGUAAAGAGCGUGUAGGCGGCCAAGCAGGUCCGCUGUGAAAACUCGAGGCUCAACCUCGAGACGUCGGUGGAAACCGUUUGGCUAGAGUCCGGAGGAGGAGAGUGGAAUUCCCGGUGUAGCGGUGAAAUGCGCAGAUAUCGGGAAGAACACCCGUGGCGAAGGCGGCUCUCUGGGACGGUACUGACGCUGAUGCGCGAAAGCGUGGGUAGCAAACAGG